rnacentral:miRNA from 1 species
CACCUUGAUUUUGGACUUCUAGCCUCCAGAACUGUAGGACAAUAAAUUUC